rnacentral:snoRNA from 1 species
AACCCAUGGUGAGGACACCUUCUCAACAGAUCCUUGUAUCUCUCCCAUGCAUCGUAGAGUGUUUCUAAAUCCAUCUGUAAAAAAAUCAUUACGUAACUUGGCU